CCUACGGGAGGCAGCAGUGGGGAAUAUUGCACAAUGGGGGAAACCCUGAUGCAGCAACGCCGCGUGAGUGAAGAAGUAUUUCGGUAUGUAAAGCUCUAUCAGCAGGGAAGAAAAUGACAGUACCUGACAAAGAAGCCCCGGCUAACUACGGGCCAGCAGCCGCGGUAAUACGUAGGGGGCAAGCGUUAUCCGGAUUUACUGGGUGUAAAGGGAGCGUAGACGGCUGCGCAAGUCAGAAGUGAAAGCACGGGGCUAAACCGCGGGAGUGCUUUUGAAACUGUGUAGCUAGAGUGCAGUAGGGGUAAGUGGAAUUCCUGGUGUAGCGGUGAAAUGCGUAGAUAUUAGGAGGAACACCGGUGGCGAAGGCGGCUUACUGGACUGUAACUGACGUUGAGGCUCGAAAGCGUGGGGAGCAAACAGGAUUAGAUACCCUUGUAGUC
rnacentral:rRNA from 1 species